rnacentral:rRNA from 1 species
CGGACGGCAGCUUACACAUGCAGUCGAGCGCACUCUUCGGAGUGAGCGGCGGACGGGUUAGUAACGCGUGGGAACGUGCCCUUCUCUAAGGAAUAGCCACUGGAAACGGUGAGUAAUACCUUAUACGCCCUUCGGGGGAAAGAUUUAUCGGAGAAGGAUCGGCCCGCGUUAGAUUAGAUAGUUGGUGGGGUAAUGGCCUACCAAGUCUACGAUCUAUAGCUGGUUUUAGAGGAUGAUCAGCAACACUGGGACUGAGACACGGCCCAGACUCCUACGGGAGGCAGCAGUGGGGAAUCUUGGACAAUGGGCGCAAGCCUGAUCCAGCCAUGCCGCGUGAGUGAUGAAGGCCUUAGGGUCGUAAAGCUCUUUCGCCAGAGAUGAUAAUGACAGUAUCUGGUAAAGAAACCCCGGCUAACUCCGUGCCAGCAGCCGCGGUAAUACGGAGGGGGUUAGCGUUGUUCGGAAUUACUGGGCGUAAAGCGCACGUAGGCGGAUCAGAAAGUAUAGGGUGAAAUCCCAGGGCUCAACCCUGGAACUGCCUUGUAAACUCCUGGUCUUGAGUUCGAGAGAGGUGAGUGGAAUUCCGAGUGUAGAGGUGAAAUUCGUAGAUAUUCGGAGGAACACCAGUGGCGAAGGCGGCUCACUGGCUCGAUACUGACGCUGAGGUGCGAAAGUGUGGGGAGCAAACAGGAUUAGAUACCCUGGUAGUC